rnacentral:rRNA from 1 species
UACGUAGGGUGCAAGCGUUAAUCGGAAUUAUUGGGCGUAAAGGGCGCGUAGGCGGCUUGGCAAGUGGAAGGUGAAAUCCCUCGGCUUAACCGAGGAACUGCCCUCCAAACUGCUUGGCUUGAGACCGGGAGAGAUGAGUGGAAUUCCCAGUGUAGCGGUGAAAUGCGUAGAUAUUGGGAGGAACACCAGUGGCGAAGGCGGCUCACUGGACCGGUACUGACGCUGAUGCGCGAAAGCGUGGGGAGCAAACGGG